CACACCUGCCCUCUCUUCCCCUGGGCCACAUCCGGGAAACAAUGAGAGCCGUCUCCCGCCCCACCCCCAGCCUCAGAUUUCCCCUAGGAAGAACCAGCAGGCUCUAGGAGGUCACCUAUGCAUGAUUUUGAAAUACUUAAAGUCUCAUGUAGGUAUUAGGCUCAUCGGUUUAUAAGUGGAAGGCACCAUUUUACAGUCCACUCCAUAUGGCAUUCUAUAUAUAAGACUGAUCUGCAGAGAAGUCAGGAACCUCAGCUACUCUCUAAUAGAGUAUCCCCUCAUCUACCCACCUCACAGUACUCUACUCUGGAGCCAAUGAAAUAAUAGGUGCCAGGUUAAGAAUCUGAAGAAAGAGGCAUAUCAUUUAGGAUCAACACAGCCAGAAACAACUCCCACUGAGGUUUGGGAACAUGAAGAUAGGAGAGAUGAAGAGGCCAAAAAGAACAAGACCAAACCAAUGAAAGCCACUGAAGCCAAGACUGCCUUCUGGGAGUAGGGAAGGAGGUCACCAGACUUGCAUUCGAAUGCAAAAAUACCAGGAAGAGAUUAUUAAUCUUAAGGAUUAUUAUUCCUAGCAAGGAAAUGACCUUUGAUUAGGAGAAAUGAUCACCAUGUUGUACCUAAUAAUAAGUAAAAAGCAAGUCAAGAUGGAUUGCCAUCGUUUUAAGUUUGUACCUAAUCACAAGUGGAUAAUGAUUAUAUUAUAUAGAUAAUAUGGUUUUAAAUGUUAAAAGGCAAAGCUCCUCAGGACUCACUCCCAUACCAUAGCAGUUAAGGAUUAAACUAAAGCAAUACAGCAAAAUUCUAGGUCUUUGGGAAAAACCAAGUUAAGAGUAAUAUACUCAUCAUCUACUUGGAGUCCUCUCGUACUUAUUGUUAACAAAUCCUAACAGGCUCAAAGAUUUGCAGUGUUAAGCAAUGCAUUGUGCUAGGCUUUAAGGCAAGCCCCCUCCCACCCCCCACCCAGUUCAAAUUCUACCUGAGACUUUACACUAAAUUUGUGAUUUAAUAAAGGAAGUUCUUCUUUAAUAAAGGAAGUUCCAAACUAAAUGAAAUAAAAAAUCCUUGAUGUGCAUUAUUGACAUACCUGGAUCACAGGUGAGUAUCCUUAACAUUCAUCAAAAUCUUAGGCCAUGAACAGAUUUUUUUAAAAAGACCAAUUAAUUUCACAGCAGUGAUCUGUUUUAAUUUCAUAUUUAACAUAGCAUAUAUUUUAAUGAUAUUUAAAGGAAUAAAUCAUAUAUAAGAAAUUAGUAAGGUUAAAGACAUUAGAAAUUUUUUAAGCCAAUCAAUCGUGUUUUCAACAAGAAUAGGUUUUAUUAUAAGAAACUUAAAUGACAUCAAGUAAAAAUGCAAAAUUGUGCAAUUAUGGCAAAAUGUUUAAAAAUUCCACACGUUUCCCCCACCCCGCUCCCGCCCCAACCCCCCACCCCGGACUACAGUACUUCUUACUACAUACCUGAGCACUGAACAUUGAACGCCAUUUUAAACUGCCUUAAAACAGUGAAUUUGAUGCCUUACAGACCACAUCCACCUAGUCUCAUGCACCACUGCAAUCAGUUUGAGACUUAAAUCUAACGUCAGCUGUGUACCAUAACAAAUGAAGAUGGAAAACAGAUUUCAACUUCACUUUCCUGUAAAGUCUUAGUUCACAUUUUCUAAAUAUAUCGGAAGAUGCUGUAUAAAUAAUCUUUCAACACAACCCUAACUUGUAAUUCUAUAGUGCUUAUGGUACCUUUUACCAAUUUUCUCCCCACACUAUGAAAAUUUACCUGAAAAAUCUAACUAGAGAGCAAAAACCAUCACCAAUCCAACUUUAAGGCCUUCUUUUGAAAGCUUUUAAAAGUGGCAAAAGGUCCCAGCUAGAUUAUUGUUUAGACAAGAAUUAUGCACACCUACAAUUCAACAGGUUUCAUUUCCAUGGCAAGUUGCAGGCUUUAGCUUUUGAAUACGCUAUCAUCUCAGAUCGUACCCUCAGCAUAAAUGGAUAAAACAAAAACAACAACAACAGAAGUUGUAUUUUAGUGCAGAUCAACAAAAUUAACUUACUGUAGGGUUAACUACAGCAUGUUGUACUCCUAUACAAUCAUAUGAUCAGUCAAUUGCUAAAUCAAAUGUUCUAGGUCAUGUUUUCAAGUAAUAUGCUGAAAAUUUUGUUCCACUAAAUAAAUACCGAUUGUCAAAAAGCAGCAGGAAAUCUAAAUAGUCAACCAAGCCUUUAAAACAAAAAACUAACACUUUUUGCAAGGACAGUUUGUAUAGACUAAUGCAACACUGUAAGGAAGGGUGCUUCAAAAAGCUUGCAGAUAGAGCCCUAUGCAAAACUAUACAUUUUACACAAAGAAUAAGAAAAACUGGGGAGGAGGGAUGGGAAAUGAACAUUUUAAUUGACUGACUUGUACUUCAAAAAAAAAUUGCAACAAAACAGCAUUGUAACAAACACCAAGAAAGCACAUGUCUUGCUUUCUAGGACUCCACUCUAAAAUGUAACUCUAUAAAUGCCAUCAACCUUAAAAUCUGCUUCGGAAAACUCCCAUUACUUAUACAUCUCUCCAAGAAGCAGUUUGGUAAGUUUCUGGAAAAUGAGGUAUGUGAUGCAAGGAGGCAAUGCUAAAAAAUUUUUUGUUUCACAGUAUCACAUUAAAAUUUGUGCAAUAUUUAAAUAAGAACUAUGUCAGUUUGCUUUCUUUAAAGAUAAAAAUUGCUCAUGUGAUAAGGACAGAUUCUGGAUUAUGCUUAACUGCUAUGGUCAACUUGUCUAAAGACUAUAAAAAAUAAGUUACUGAUCCAAAUAUCUGCCUUAUUUAAAUAUUACAAAUGAAUUGUUCUUCUUCACUUGAACGUACUUAGAUUAGUGCUAGAAAUUUGUCAAAUAUAAAGAAUGACACUUGGAAUCUAAAGAUGCAAUUAUGUUAUGACUGAUUUAAAAAAAUUAGAUAUCAAACUCUUCACUUUUUUUUCCUCCUUUUCAAGCCCCUUCAACCAAGCAGAGGCUAACCCUAGGAAAAGGAUCUAGUUUUCAUAAAUUUGAUGUUAAAUAUAUAAAAACAGAAAAAAGAAAAAACUCAAGUUAAAAAUUUUUAAGUUCACUAUGUCUCUUUCUUUAAAAAAAAACUAUCAAAAAUAAGGCCAAUUCUCACAUUAUCUUCUGUGGAGAACAGACACAACAUUUUUUCGAUGUUAGGAUGAAUUGAAAUGGAGGAAUAAGGACAAGCCAAAUGUCAGAUCUACUAAGUAGUUUUGGAACCAAAUUCACGCAAAAAAGACAAAAACAAAAACUAUAAAGCUCUCAAUUUUCCGAAAAUAAGAAUGAGAGAAAUUCAAAUCAACAAAUGGCCGUAUUCUGCUAUCAUUUUAAAUGCAGAAUCCCACUCAAAUCAAGAGGUCUACAGAUGAUAUAUUCUGGCCAUAAAACCAGCAGACCACUUUGAAAGACAAGCACAGUCAGGCCAGGUAACAUUACCUGGCCACACGAAAAUGGAAGUAUACUAGCACCAGCCGCCUUUGGGUUUAAAAGCCCUUUACCAGAUUAUUAUCUUUGUCUCCCCCAAACAAGACAAGUGUUAGCACUUAAAAACAUUUUGCUGCCAGAAAAUCGCUAACUUAUAUCAUUAAGUUGACUUAAAUUCCACAUAGGAAAUGUCAAUUACCCAAAACAGCUUUUUUUUUCUGAGAUUAAUAUUUUCUCAAAACUUAUUGUAACAGCUGAACAUAUAACAAACACCUCAG